GCUUAGAAUUGGUUGUUCUAUAACAUAAUAAAAGUUACCUUAAAGGUGAACCACCCCUUUAACCCAUCUGUUGUGUCCCCUUUAUCAUUUGCUAGCGAUUUAGUCUUUCAGUCUGUCCGUCCCAUUUCCCUUUAAUUUCCUAUUACUUAAUACUUUUUGUUCUCUCUCCUCCAAUGUAGCUGUUUUUGCUUUUCUCUUGUGUUUGCCAUUUAUGGGCUCCUGAUAACUUGACGUGGCUGCUGACAGGCCAGAAGUUAAUAUGCCCAAUGUAUACAGGCGUGGCGUUGGACAGAUAAGACCAGGCUGAUACCCAGCAGGAGACUCACCCACACACGCCAGCUGUCACCAAAUAAUCUCGAUCUCUGGCUGAGCCAGCAGUGAUAUCUGCGCCGGAGAGAGAGGCAGAUCCAGAAAUAUAACAGAACAGGAGUCAGACAAGUCUGGUAGCGCAGGGAGAAAUUUUAUUGAAAUGUAGCCCUUUCUUCAACAAUGGAUCAAACAAAAGUGGGAAAACCCUACAAGAUUCACAUUUACAUUUCAUUGGAAAAAUACAGAU